rnacentral:rRNA from 1 species
AGUGAACGCUGGCGGCGUGCUUAACACAUGCAAGUCGAACGAGAACGGAUUAUAGCUUGCUAUAAUUGUCAGCUAAGUGACGCACGGGUGAGUAAUAUAUAGAUAACCUGCCCUCUAGAAAGGAAUAACAGUUGGAAACGACUGCUAAUGCCCUAUAUGCCUUUAAUACAUAAGUAUGCAAGGGAAACGCUUUAGUGCUAGAGGAUGGGUCUGUAUGGUAUCAGCUUGUUGGUGAGGUAAUGGCUCACCAAGGCUAUGACGCCUAACUGGUUUGAGAGGAUGAUCAGGCACACUGGAACUGAGACACGGUCCAGACUCCUACGGGAGGCAGCAGUGGGGAAUAUUGCACAAUGGACGAAAGUCUGAUGCAGCAACGCCGCGUGGAGGAUGACACAUUUCGGUGCGUAAACUCCUUUUAUAUAGGAAGAUAAUGACGGUACUAUAUGAAUAAGCACCGGCUAACUACGUGCCAGCCGCCGCAGUAAUAC